GACGAACGCUGGCGGCGUGCUUAACACAUGCAAGUCGAACGCAGUGGCGAACGGGUGAGUAACGCGUAAUCAACCUGCCCUUCAGAGGGGGACAACAGUUGGAAACGACUGCUACUACCUCAUACUGAAGGAGGGGAUUGCGUUUGAUUAGCUAGUUGGAGGGGUAACGUCCCACCAAGGCGAUGAUCAGUAGGCGAGCUGAGAGGAUGAACGGCCACAUUGGGACUGAGACACGGCCCAGACUCCUACGGGAGGCAGCAGUUGGGAAUCUUCCGCAAUGGAGGAAAGUCUGACGGAGCAACGCCGCGUGAGUGAUGACGGCCUUCGGGUUGUAAAGCUCUGUUAAUCGGGACGCGGUACCGAAAUAGAAAGCCACGGCUAACUACGUGCCAGCAGCCGCGGUAAUAC
rnacentral:rRNA from 1 species